rnacentral:rRNA from 1 species
UACGUAGGGUGCGAGCGUUGCCCGAAUUUAUUGGGCGUAAAGGGCGCGUAGGCGGCUCGGCACGUCCGUUGUGAAAUCGCCCGGCUCAACUGGGCGGGGUCAGCGGAUACGGCCGAGCUUGAGCAAGCUAGGGGGCAAUGGAAUUCCCGGUGUAGUGGUGGAAUGCGUAGAUAUCGGGAGGAACACCAGUGGCGAAGGCGGUUGCCUGGAGCUUUGCUGACGCUGAUGCGCGAAAGCGUGGGGAGCGAUCCGG